rnacentral:lncRNA from 7 species
AAAAAGAAAAGAAAAUAAGAAAAAGAGAAAAAUGAAAAGAAAAAAAGAAAAAAUGAAUGAAAAAGAGAAAAAAGAGUAAAGAAAAAAGAAAUAAAAAAAGACAAAAAAAGAAAGAAAAAAGAAAUGAAAAAAAGAGAAAAGAGAAAAAAAAAAAAAAAAAUAAAAAAGAAAGAAAAAAAGAAAAAUAGAAUAAAAAGAGAAAAGAGAAAAAUAGAAAAAAGAAAAAAAAAGAAGAAAAAAAAUAAUGAAACAGAAAAACAAAAAAAACGAAUAAUGACAAGAGAAGAAAGGUAAAGAGAAAAGAAGAAAAAAGCCAAGUGAAAAAGUAAAGAAUAACUCAAAGGAAGGAGUGGAUGGCAAGAAAUACAGAGAAAGCCAUGCAUAGCAGAGCAAAGGAAAGCAAGGCAAAAUAGCAGCCAAAGCCACGAGAAUCAAGAAGUCAGUGAAGAGCAGGAAAGGUAAGUUUCCCUUAAAGCAAGGGGGAAUGGUAGUGGAUGGGGGCAAAAGAGAGGGGAGGGGAGGGGAAGUGAAGGAGAGGGGGGAGAGGGGGAGGAGCAGUGGGGGCUAGAGGGGGGUGAGGGGGCGAGAGGGGGGGAGGGAGGAAGGGGUGGAGAGGGGGCAGAGGUGAGGGGGUGAGUAAGUGGGGGUGUGGGUGGCUGGGGGGGGAGAGGAGAGAGGGUAGGAAGGAAAAAAUUGGAGGUAGGGUGAGGGAAGGGGGAGGGUUGAAGGGAAACUAAUGAAACAGAGGACAAAGGAGAAUAACAAGUCAAAAGCAAUGCAUGUAAAUACAGAGCAAGCAAGUAGGAAAGCUAGGCAUAGCACAGCAAAAGAGAGCACAGCAACAGAAGGCAAAGAAUGACAAAAAGCAACCUUGCAGGAAUGGAGGACUCUGGCCAGAGCUGUGCCCUGCUUGCCACAGGAGCUGCGCGGGAGGAGAAGAAUGUGGGCCAAAAGGAAUGGAGGACUCUGGCCAGAGCUGUGCCCCUGCUUGCCACAGGAGCUGCGCGGGAGGAGAAGAAUGUGGGCCAAAGGUAAGAGGAAGCUCCUUUGGGUUCUGGGCUUGAAGCAAAGCUGAGAAGCCAUGCCCGGGAGGAGGUGUGGGUAGCUAACAGGCCAGCUUGCUAUCUCCCCAAGAGAUAGGCGGUGUGUGGGCUGUAGGCACCGGGGCAGGAGUGCUGGCCAGAAGCAAGCAUCUCUGUGGAGGAAGGCAAAGGGCGGAG